rnacentral:pre_miRNA from 1 species
UUGGUACUCCCUCCGUCCGAAAAUACUUGUCGAAGAAAUGCAUAAAAAUGAAUGUAUCUAGAACUAGAAUACAUCUAGAUACAUUCAUUUCUCCGACGAGUAUUUCCGGACGGAGGGAGUAUGUU